GAUGAACGCUGACAGAAUGCUUAACACAUGCAAGUCUACUUGAAUUUGGGUUUUUUAACUUAGAUUUGGGUGGCGGACGGGUGAGUAACGCGUAAAGAACUUGCCUCACAGCUAGGGACAACAUUUGGAAUCGAAUGCUAAUACCUGAUAUUAUGAUUAUAAGGCAUCUUAGAAUUAUGAAAGCUAUAUGCGCUGUGAGAGAGCUUUGCGUCCCAUUAGCUAGUUGGAGAGGUAACGGCUCACCAAGGCGAUGAUGGGUAGCCGGCCUGAGAGGGUGAACGGCCACAAGGGGACUGAGACACGGCCCUUACUCCUACGGGAGGCAGCAGUGGGGAAUAUUGGACAAUGGACCAAGAGUCUGAUCCAGCAAUUCUGUGUGCACGAUGACGUUUUUCGGAAUGUAAAGUGCUUUCAGUUGGGAAGAAAAAAAUGACGGUACCAACAGAAGAAGUGACGGCUAAAUACGUG
rnacentral:rRNA from 1 species